rnacentral:rRNA from 1 species
GACGAACGCUGGCGGCGUGCUUAACACAUGCAAGUCGAACGGAAAGGCCCUGCUUUUGUGGGGUGCUCGAGUGGCGAACGGGUGAGUAACACGUGAGUAACCUGCCCUUGACUUUGGGAUAACUUCAGGAAACUGGGGCUAAUACCGGAUAGGAGCUCCUGCUGCAUGGUGGGGGUUGGAAAGUUUCGGCGGUUGGGGAUGGACGCGCGGCUUAUCAGCUUGUUGGUGGGGUAGUGGCCUACCAAGGCUUUGACGGAUAGCCGGCCUGAGAGGGUGACCGGCGACAUUGGGACUGAGGGAGGGCCCAGAGUCGUACGAGGGGCAGCAGUGGGGAGUAUUGCACAGUGGGCGGAAGCCUGAGGCAGCAGCGCCGCGGGCGGGAUGACGGCCUUCGGGUUGUGAACCGCUUUCGCCUGUGACGAAGCGUGAGUGACGGUAAUGGGUGAAGAAGCACCGGCUAACUACGUG